GUUCUUGUGGUGAGUCUUGACAUCAGUGAGCACCUAUCUUGACUUCAGAGCUGUGACAAACUUGGGCUGAGCUUUCCAAUGCCUGAUCGUGUGAACUGGAAACUGCAGAAGUCACUUGGUUAAGUUUACAAGAAGCAACAGAAGCCUGUUACAGAUUUGUUUGUGGUUUUGUGAGCCCUGCAACUGGCUCAGCUGUACAGAGACUCCCAGGGUCUGGAAGCUCCUGACUCAUCCAUCUGAGAAUUACUUUUUAAGCAAUGUUAGUUCACAGCAAGUGUCAAAAAGCAUCUGUCUUAGAAGAUAACCAUAUCAUGAGGGAAGCGCUGGAGCCCUGUUAAAACCAAAUUGCCAAGCUCAGAUGGAAGUAAUAACAAUGGAAGCAGGCUCUCUAUUUUUCAUCCUAUGCUUGAUAUUCUGGUAUUUUGGGAACAUCUUAGAGACAGCAACUUAAACAGUAGGUCUGUAUGGCCUCCCAAAUUUUAGACAGAAGGCCUUUUGGGGGCAGCAUUGGCCUUGAGGGAAGAGGGAUCCAUCCCUGAUGUAUGCCUGAGUUUAUAGCAAGCUACAGCUGAAUAACUCAGAACAUCUUCCUGUUCUUCCAUAGAUCUCCAUGGGUGGUGACAAGCAUGGCAUUAGCUUGCCUAUUGAUUCAGUUCUUCUCUGUACAAGCCAAGCAAUAACAAUUCUCGGAUCAUGGAGAGCAUUAUGAGAAUAAUCAUAACAACAAUUAUAAUGCAGCAGUGAAAUAUUACAAGUUAUGAAAAGGCCACAGAGGAAAACAAGGCCAGUAUUUUGGCCUUUACUAGAUAAACAAGAAAAAUGGAACAGUACAGCUUCUCUACAUUCCUUGAGUAUAGGGUUACUGCUUAAAAAAAGACAUAAAAACAAAAGAAAACAAAAUACCAGAUAAAUUGAAUCAACAAAGACAUUAACUCUUAAGUUGGUGUAAUGUGUCACUUAAAAGUUGAGCUAUUCGUUAUAAACUAAAUCCACCAUUCACUGGUCUCCCGAGUCAAGCAUCUGUUCAUUAUUAAUCAACUCCAAAGUCAUAAAAGAGACCACCACACAACUGCUUUAAAUUGACUCAGCUCUUAAAGAUACUCAUUAUACCAUAUACUCAUUGUACCACUGGAUGGACAGAAGAGGGAGCUAAAAGGUGUCAAAUCCAACACUAGAAGUGAGUGCUGCAAAGCUCAGCCUCUAGGCAGCACUUGAACUUUACAGCACUGUUCCUGCAGCUUCCCCAGGUGAAGGAUAUAACUGCAGAAUAGUCCCUGCUACAGCAUGUUUUAGGAAUGUUAGUGAAUAAACAGCCAUCAUCUAGAGUUAAAGGUUGGAUUAUUUUACCAGAGGUGUCAGGUUUUUUAAAUACCACCAAGAUGGGGAGGAAAAAUAAAAUAAAAAGGAAAAAAAAAAGUGCUUUUUUAAUGGGCACAUAUAUUCCUAAAACACCCCUAUUGAAGUGAAAUUCAUUCCCUCUCUGAUCAGUUUUAAUUCAUGUGAAAUUUCCAGGUGCAUCCAUUUUCAUCCUAGUUCAAAAAAAUAAAAUAUAAAUAUUUCAAUUUGCUUAAAUGAUCCUUAAAUUUUCCAUUUAAAGACAUUUGGCCUUAAGAGAUCUCCCUUUAUUUCCAUGUGCUGCCUUUGACCUCUUCAAGCACUGAGGACCUGUCUGGCUCCUUGCCCUGAAUCCAGGCUUUAUUAUUCUAUCUCACACCAGCUUGAAUCAGAAACUAAGAAAAAUCACAUUAGCAAGGCCAACAGAUAAGGAGUGACCCUGAAAUACUGCCAGAACACCAUCGUCCUUAUAGCGGAUUGAACAAGAUAGAUUUAAGCCUGUUUUGUAGUCUCUUAGGACCAGUCUAAGGUCACGAGUCAAGCCAUUAUUUUUAAUUGCCUCUGAGUCUAAGAUGGUUUAACUUUGG